GCCACAGAACUAUGCGCAGCUGGAACGGGAUCUUAUCGUUUGAAUCCUAGCACCCAGUCAGUGUCCCUCCUGCCUCCUCUGAGGGCACAUCAGAGGACUUCAGGAAAAUAGAGUGGGCACCAGGUGCUGAAUAAUGUCUCUGUAUAGAGUGAGUGGGUGAUUGGCUAGCUGUCAAACUACAGCGGGGAGGCAGAGCCAGGCUUCUUUCAAGCACAGUCCCUACCUACAUACUGCCAACCCAUCUGCUUCCCCACCACCACCGCCAUCUUGUGCAGUAUUCUGGGCCUGGCUCUGAUGUGGUUUUUUGACCUUUACUUGGCUACUCCCAAAGGAGUACACUGCACCCCUCAACAGAGAAAACUCCAGGUUAAUCAGCUCAGUGGAAGAUGAAUUAUCAUCCCACAUUCCAUGUGUGAUUGGAGGAGUUCCAAAAAGAACCUUCCAAGGAUGGCGGCCCCACUUCUGGGGAGAUGGACAGUGGCUCUAGUUCUGGAAAGUGCAUCCCCAGGCACUACGAUAGAUGUGGCUUUGGGUACCUUCCUGCCUCUCACUGUGCCACCUGCAGACUUUGCCAAAGAGAGGAGUCCGGCAAGGACUCUGCUUCUUGUGUAAUCAAGGAAAUAGGAUCAAUCAGAAGGGGACAUCCGCAUCCCGACCCCCAACGUCUACAUCCCACUACAUGUGUCCUGCGCAUUUGAAUGCCUCCUGCUACAAAGGAUGAGAUGUUUAUGCUCCUGUGUAAGAACCACCCCUCCCGCCUGCCCAGUUGCUCUUGCAGUUGUCUCCUAUCACUUCUGAAUCAUCAUUUUCUCCCCCUCUCCUGAAUCAUUUCAAUCAACAUGCCAAGAUUCUUGAGUAUCUCUCAUCUUAAAAACAAAAAUUCCACCUCUCUUGACCUUAUACCACUCUCCAGCUAUCACCCAUUUUUUUCUGUUUGCCUUUACAGCAAAACCCUUAAAGAAUUGUCUCUACUCCUCUGG